UGUUCACGGAUGGGAAUCGAACCCACAGUGUUCCGCUUACCGGACAGAUGCCAUGUCCACUAGGCUAACCUGGAC
rnacentral:tRNA from 1 species